UGCUGACGAGUGGCGAACGGGCCCCUUUACAUCGGAACGUGCCCAGUAAUGGGGGAUAGCUCGGCGAAAGCCGGAUUAAUACCGCAUACCCCCUGAGGGGGAAAGUGGGGGACCGCAAGGCCUCACUUUAUUGGAGCGGCCGAAUGGCUGAUUAGCUAGUUGGGAGGGUAAAGGCCUACCAAGGCGACGAUUAGUACCUGGUCUGGAGAGGACAAUCACCCCCCCUGGGACUGAAACACGGCCCAAACUCCUACGGGAGGCAGCAGGGGGGAUUUUUGGACAUUGGGGGAAACCCUGAUCCCCCUUUGCCCCGUGUGCGAAAAAAGGCCUCCCGGUUUUAAAAAAUCUUUUUUUCAGGAAAAAAAAUCCUUUGGGGUAAUUCCCCCAGGGGGGAUGACGGU
rnacentral:rRNA from 1 species